rnacentral:rRNA from 1 species
GAUGAACGCUGGCGGCGUGCCUAACACAUGCAAGUCGAACGAAGCUUGACGGAUGAUUUCUUCGGAAUGAAACCAGAUAUGACUUAGUGGCGGACGGGUGAGUAACACGUGAGCAACCUGCCUUUCAGAGGGGGAUAACGGCUGGAAACGGUCGCUAAUACCGCAUGAUGUGUUCGGAUGGCAUCAUCUGAACAUCAAAGAUUUAUCGCUGAAAGAUGGGCUCGCGUCUGAUUAGAUAGUUGGUGGGGUAACGGCCUACCAAGUCUACGAUCAGUAGCCGGAGGGAGGGGUGGAGCGCCCAGAUGGGGACGGAGAGACGGCAGAGACCCCUACGGGGGGAGGCGGGGGGAAAUAUUGCAAAAGGGGGAAACCCUGGAUGAAGCAACGCCGCGUGAGGAAUGAGGUUUUUGGGAUUGAAAACUUUUUUUCUGAGAGACGAAGAAAGUGAGGGUAGCUAAGAAAUAAGCAUCGGCUAACUACGUG